rnacentral:rRNA from 1 species
AGGAGACGCUGGCGGCGUGCUUAAUACAUGCAAGUCGAGCGAGGUUACUGGAGUGGAGCCCUUCGGGGUGAAGCUGCUUUAACCUAGCGGCGGACGGGUGAGUAACGCGUGGGUAACCUACCCCAAAGUCCGGGAUAACAGCGGGAAACCGCUGCUAAUACCGGAUGCCUUUACCUUGGGGCAUCUUGAGGUAAAGAAAGGCAACGCUUUGGGAUGGGCCCGCGUCCCAUUAGCUAGUUGGUGAGGUAACGGCUCACCAAGGCGACGAUGGGUAGCCGGCCUGAGAGGGUGGACGGCCACACUGGGACUGAGACACGGCCCAGACUCCUACGGGAGGCAGCAGUAGGGAAUAUUGCGCAAUGGACGGAAGUCUGACGCAGCGACGCCGCGUGAGCGAUGAAGGCCUUCGGGUCGUAAAGCUCUGUCCUUGGGGAAGAAGGCGAAAGCUUGACGGUACCCAAGAAGAAAGCCCCGGCUAACUACGUG